CCCCGGUAAACGGCGGCCGUAACUAUAACGGUCCUAAGGUAGCGAAAUUCCUUGUCGGGUAAGUUCCGACCUGCACGAAUGGCGUAAUGAUGGCCAGGCUGUCUCCACCCGAGACUCAGUGAAAUUGAACUCGCUGUGAAGAUGCAGUGUACCCGCGGCAAGACGGAAAGACCCCGUGAACCUUUACUAUAGCUUGACACUGAACAUUGAGCCUUGAUGUGUAGGAUAGGUGGGAGGCUUUGAAGUGUGGACGCCAGUCUGCAUGGAGCCGACCUUGAAAUACCACCCUUUAAUGUUUGAUGUUCUAACGUGGACCCGUAAUCCGGGUUGCGGACAGUGUCUGGUGGGUAGUUUGACUGGGGCGGUCUCCUCCUAAAGAGUAACGGAGGAGCACGAAGGUUGGCUAAUCCUGGUCGGACAUCAGGAGGUUAGUGCAAUGGCAUAAGCCAGCUUGACUGCGAGCGUGACGGCGCGAGCAGGUGCGAAAGCAGGUCAUAGUGAUCCGGUGGUUCUGAAUGGAAGGGCCAUCGCUCAACGGAUAAAAGGUACUCCGGGGAUAACAGGCUGAUACCGCCCAAGAGUUCAUAUCGACGGCGGUGUUUGGCACCUCGAUGUCGGCUCAUCACAUCCUGGGGCUGAAGUAGGUCCCAAGGGUAUGGCUGUUCGCCAUUUAAAGUGGUACGCGAGCUGGGUUUAGAACGUCGUGAGACAGUUCGGUCCCUAUCUGCCGUGGGCGCUGGAGAACUGAGGGGGGCUGCUCCUAGUACGAGAGGACCGGAGUGGACGCAUCACUGGUGUUCGGGUUGUCAUGCCAAUGGCACUGCCCGGUAGCUAAAUGCGGAAGAGAUAAGUGCUGAAAGCAUCUAAGCACGAAACUUGCCCCGAGAUGAGUUCUCCCUGAGACUUAGAGUCUCCUGAAGGAACGUUGAAGACGACGACGUUGAUAGGCCGGGUGUGUAAGCGCAGCGAUGCGUUGAGC
rnacentral:rRNA from 1 species